rnacentral:tRNA from 1 species
CGGGUUGUAGCGCAGUCUGGUAGCGCGCUUGUUUCGGGUACAAGAGGUCCAGGGUUCGAAUCCCUGCAGCCCGA